AAUUGGUAAAGCCGCAUGUGUGCACGGAGGAGGUCCUAGGUUCAAGCCAUAGAGAAGUCACUUUGAGGAGGGAAUUAUGCGGUGGUGACAUGUGACGCACACGUGGCAGGCAGAGGUUAGGUGGCAGGCACAUGUGUGAGAAGGAACAGACUAUGUUGAAGCCUCAGCAAAUGAAGUCACAAUAACUGAGCUUCAUCCUCGCUAAAUUUUAGCUUGCAAGUGAAAUUCCAAUAUUAGUUUUAAUGUGCAGAUUACUUUAGUGGAAAUGAAAGCUAGCAGUUCACCUAAAGAUAAGCAGGCUGUAUAUUGAUGCAGAGAUUUUACUUCUCAAAAAUAAAAUUAUUAAUUGCGGACUUUUCCCCAAUUUUUUCUAUCUAACAUCUUUUGUAAUUGCUUAUUUAUAA